rnacentral:rRNA from 1 species
UACGUAGGGUGCAGGCGUUAAUCGGAAUUACUGGGCGUAAAGCGUGCGCAGGCGGUCUUUUAAGUCAGAUGUGAAAUCCCCGGGCUUAACCUGGGAACUGCGUUUGAAACUGGAAGGCUAGAGUGUGGCAGAGGGGGGGUGGAAUUCCACGUGUAGCAGGUGAAAUGCGUAGAUAUGAUGGAGGAACACCGAUGGCGAAGGCAGCCCCCUGGGCUAACACUGACGCUCAUGCACGAAAGCGUGGGGAGCAAACAGG